rnacentral:rRNA from 1 species
CGGGACGGGUGAGUAAUGUCUGGGAAAACUGCCUGAUGGAGGGGGGUAACUACUGGAAACGGUAGCUAAUACCGCAUAACGUCGCAAGACCAAAGAGGGGGACCUUCGGGCCUCUUGCCAUCGGAUGUGCCCAGAUGGGAUUAGCUAGUAGGUGGGGUAACGGCUCACCUAGGCGACGAUCCCUAGCUGGUCUGAGAGGAUGACCAGCCACACUGGAACUGAGACACGGUCCAG